rnacentral:rRNA from 1 species
UACGUAGGGGGCAAGCGUUGUCCGGAUUUAUUGGGCGUAAAGAGCGUGUAGGCGGCUUUACAGGUCCGUUGUGAAAUCCCGAGGCUCAACCUCGGGUCUGCAGUCGAUACGGGCGGACUGGAGUUCGGCAGGGGAGACUGGAAUUCCUGGUGUAGCGGUGAAAUGCGCAGAUAUCAGGAGGAACACCGGUGGCGAAGGCGGAUCUCUGGGCCAUUACUGACGCUGAGGAGCGAAAGCGUGGGGAGCGAACAGG